rnacentral:rRNA from 1 species
UACGUAGGUGGCAAGCGUUGUCCGGAAUUAUUGGGCGUAAAGCGCGCGCAGGCGGUCCUUUAAGUCUGAUGUGAAAUCCCACGGCUCAACCGUGGAAGGUCAUUGGAAACUGGGGGACUUGAGUACAGAAGAGGAAAGCGGAAUUCCAAGUGUAGCGGUGAAAUGCGUAGAGAUUUGGAGGAACACCAGUGGCGAAGGCGGCUUUCUGGUCUGUAACUGACGCUGAGGCGCGAAAGCUAGGGUAGCAAACGGG